UUAUGAAUAAGGAUCGGCUAACUCCGUGCCAGCAGCCGCGGUAAUACGGAGGAUCCGAGCGUUAUCCGGAUUUAUUGGGUUUAAAGGGAGCGUAGAUGGAUGUUUAAGUCAGUUGUGAAAGUUUGCGGCUCAACCGUAAAAUUGCAGUUGAUACUGGAUGUCUUGAGUGCAGUUGAGGCAGGCGGAAUUCGUGGUGUAGCGGUGAAAUGCUUAGAUAUCACGAAGAACUCCGAUUGCGAAGGCAGCCUGCUAAGCUGCAACUGACAUUGAGGCUCGAAAGUGUGGGUAUCAAACAGGAUUAGAUACCCUGGUAGUCCACACGGUAAACGAUGAAUACUCGCUGUUUGCGAUAUACGGCAAGCGGCCAAGCGAAAGCGUUAAGUAUUCCACCUGGGGAGUACGCCGGCAACGGUGAAACUCAAAGGAAUUGACGGGGGCCCGCACAAGCGGAGGAACAUGUGGUUUAAUUCGAUGAUACGCGAGGAACCUUACCCGGGCUUAAAUUGCAGAUGAAUUACGGUGAAAGCCGUAAGCCGCAAGGCAUCUGUGAAGGUGCUGCAUGGUUGUCGUCAGCUCGUGCCGUGAGGUGUCGGCUUAAGUGCCAUAACGAGCGCAACCCUUGUUGUCAGUUACUAACAGGUGAUGCUGAGGACUCUGACAAGACUGCCAUCGUAAGAUGUGAGGAAGGUGGGGAUGACGUCAAAUCAGCACGGCCCUUACGUCCGGGGCUACACACGUGUUACAAUGGGGGGUACAGAGGGCCGCUACCACGCGAGUGGAUGCCAAUCCCUAAAACCCCUCUCAGUUCGGACUGGAGUCUGCAACCCGACUCCACGAAGCUGGAUUCGCUAGUAAUCGCGCAUCAGCCACGGCGCGGUGAAUACGUUCCCGGGCCUUGUACACACCGCCCGUCAAGCCAUGGGAGCCGGGGGUACCUGAAGUGCGUAACCGCGAGGAGCGCCCUAGGGUAAAACUGGUGACUGGGGCUAAGUCGUAACAAGGUAGCCGUACCGGAAGGUGCGGCUG
rnacentral:rRNA from 1 species